rnacentral:rRNA from 1 species
CCUACGGGAGGCAGCAGUGAGGAAUAUUGGUCAAUGGACGAGAGGCUGAACCAGCCAAGUAGCGUGAAGGAUGACUGCCCUAUGGGUUGUAAACUUCUUUUAUAAAGGAAUAAAACGAGGCACGUGUGCCUUUUUGCAUGUACUUUAUGAAUAAGGAUCGGCUAACUCCGUGCCAGCAGCCGCGGUAAUACGGAGGAUCCGAGCGUUAUCCGGAUUUAUUGGGUUUAAAGGGAGCGUAGAUGGGUUGUUAAGUCAGUUGUGAAAGUUGACGGAUCAACCGUAAAAUUGCAAUUGAUGCUGGCAGUCUUGAGUACAGUUGAGGUAGGCGGAAUUCGUGGUGUAGCGGUGAAAUGCUUAGAUAUCACGAAGAACCCCGAUUGCGAAGGCAGCUUACUAAACUGUGACUGACAUUGAUGCUCGAAAGUGUGGGUAUCAAACAGGAUUAGAUACCCCGGUAGUC